GUAAUAAUGAGCGUUUACAGAACCUAGGAAACACAGAACAAAUGAUCAAAAAAAUUAGCAAGCACGACAAAUGAAUUGAUAAUUGAUUAUCAAUAAACAUAAUAAAGAAAACACAAACCAUAUAAAAAAUACAUUGUCAAGGCAACUCCAUAUAGAAAAUCCAAUAAAGCAAACAGCAGCCCAAAGAAGUAAAAUCAUACCAGAAUAUAGACAUAGCAUGUGUUUACCAAAUCAGCCCAUAAACAGCAGAACAAUUAGCAAGAAAUAAAUUUUUCAAUGC
rnacentral:misc_RNA from 1 species